rnacentral:misc_RNA from 1 species
GAUGAAGAACGUAGCGAAAUGCGAUAAGUAAUGCGAAUUGCAGAAUUCCAGUGAGUCAUCGAAUCUUUGAACGCACAUUGCGCCCUUUGGUAUUCCGAAGGGCAUGCCUGUUCGAGCGCCAUUAUCACCCCUCAAGCCCUCGGCUUGGUGUUGGACGGUUUGGUGGAGGCCCCCUCGGGGGCUCCUGCCCCUCCCAAAGACAAUGACGGCGGCCUCGUUGGACCCCCGGUACACUGAGUUCUUCACGGGACACGUAUCGGACACAUGGGUUUACGGGACACGGUCUGCCUCCCCUCAGGGAGAAUCUUUCUAAGGUUGACCUCGGAUCAGGUAGGGAUACCCGCUGAACUUAAGCAUAUCAAUAAGCGGAGGA